UACGUAGGGGGCGAGCGUUGUCCGGAGUUACUGGGCGUAAAGGGCAUGCAGGCGGUCGGGCGCGUUUGCUGUGACAGCGCAUGGCUCAACUGUGCGAGCAUAGGAAAGACGGCUUGACUUGAGGACUCGAGAGGGACACGGAAUUCCGGGUGGAGUGGUGAAAUGCGUAGAGAUCCGGAAGAACACCAAAGGCGAAGGCACCAUCCUGGGGAGUCACUGACGCUCGGGUGCGAAAGCUAGGGGAGCGAACGGG
rnacentral:rRNA from 1 species